UACGUAGGCAGCAAGCGUUGUUCGGAGUUACUGGGCGUAAAGGGUGUGUAGGCGGUCGUUUAAGUUUGGUGUGAAAUCUCCCGGCUCAACUGGGAGGGUGCGCCGAAUACUGAAUGACUUCGAGUGCGGGAGAGGAUAGUGGAAUUCCUGGUGUAGCGGUGAAAUGCGUAGAUAUCAGGAGGAACACCGGUGGUGUAGACGGCUAUCUGGACCGUAACUGACGCUGAGACACGAAAGCGUGGGUAGCAAACAGG
rnacentral:rRNA from 1 species